UAACGGCCAUGUCUAAGUAUAAGCAAUUAUACAGCGAAACUGCGAAUGGCUCAUUAUAUAAGUUAUCGUUUAUUUGAUAGUACCUUACUACUUGGAUAACCGUGGUAAUUCUAGAGCUAAUACAUGCUAAAAAUCCCGACUUCGGAAGGGAUGUAUUUAUUAGAUUAAAAACCAAUGCCCUCUGGGCUCUCUGGUGAUUCAUGAUAACUUCUCGAAUCGCAUGGCCUUGCGCCGGCGAUGGUUCAUUCAAAUUUCUUCCCUAUCAACUUUCGAUGUUUGGGUAGUGGCCAAACAUGGUUGCAACGGGUAACGGAGGGUUAGGGCUCGACCCCGGAGAAGGAGCCUGAGAAACGGCUACUACAUCCAAGGAAGGCAGCAGGCGCGCAAAUUACCCAAUCCCGAUUCGGGGAGGUAGUGACAAUAAAUACUGAUACAGGGCUCUUUUGGGUCUUGUAAUUGGAAUGAGUACAAUUUAAAUCCCUUAACGAGGAACAAUUGGAGGGCAAGUCUGGUGCCAGCAGCCGCGGUAAUUCCAGCUCCAAUAGCGUAUAUUAAAGUUGUUGUGGUUAAAAAGCUCGUAGUUGAACCUUGGGCCUGGCUGGCCGGUCCGCCUCACCGCGUGUACUGGUCCGGCCCGGGCCUUUCCCUCUGUGGAACCCCAUGCCCUUCACUGGGUGUGGCGGGGAAACAGGACUUUUACUUUGAAAAAAUUAGAGUGCUCCAGGCAGGCCUAUGCUCGAAUACAUUAGCAUGGAAUAAUAAAAAUACGACGUGUGGUUCUAUUUUUGUUGGUUUCUAGGACCGCCGUAUUGAUUAUAGGACAGUCGGGGGGCAUCAGGUAUUCAUUGUCAGAGGUGAAAUUCUUGGAUUUAUUGAGACUAACUACUGCCAAAGCAUUGCCAGGAUGUUUUCCU
rnacentral:rRNA from 1 species